CCUGGACUCUGCAGAGUGGGAGCAUUGUGUGCUCAAGUUCCUGCGAGCGUCGCUGGAGCCCAUCGAGGACAGGGCCUGGACCAUGGGCCUGAGCCAGGAGCUGAGCCAGCAGCUGGGCAGCUCUGCCCCUGGCUCCUGGGAGAAGCUUUUCCUGUACAAGGCCCUUGGGACAGUGCUGGCAGCUUGUCAGGAUCUCAGACACGUCCAAGGGCAGGUGCUGAGG